rnacentral:rRNA from 1 species
AGCGAACGCUGGCGGCAGGCCUAACACAUGCAAGUCGAACGAACCUUUCGGGGUUAGUGGCGGACGGGUGAGUAACACGUGGGAACGUGCCUUUAGGUUCGGAAUAACUCAGGGAAACUUGUGCUAAUACCGAAUGUGCCCUUCGGGGGAAAGAUUUAUCGCCUUUAGAGCGGCCCGCGUCUGAUUAGCUAGUUGGUUGAGGUAAUGGCUCACCAAGGCGACGAUCAGUAGCUGGUCUGAGAGGAUGAUCAGCCACAUUGGGACUGAGACACGGCCCAAACUCCUACGGGAGGCAGCAGUGGGGAAUCUCGCGCAAUGGGCGAAAGCCUGACGCAGCCACGCCGCGUGAAUGAUGAAGGUCUUAGGAUUGUAAAAUUCUUUCACCGGGGACGAUAAUGACGGUACCCGGAGAAGAAGCCCCGGCUAACUUCGUG